ACAUAGGGGGAGGUUAGGUGGAGCGAUGAUGGCCCAAACUUAGGGGGCGACUUUCUAGUAGGUUUUUCUUUGAGUGGCCAAAAGCAACGAUGGACUCGGGCCUUAGCUCCUGCAGCCCCUCCAGGCUGUCCUCAAGAAAGUCUAUCCUACUUUUUUGACCAUGACAUCCAGCCUGGCUUUCUGCCCUACUCAGAAGUGGCUGUUUCAGCCUGGCAGUGCUGACUGAGACCAUUUGGGUCAGGGGACCUCCAACCCUAGUGGUCAUGUCCAUUCAUUAUUGUCACACCAUGAGAGUCUCCCCAAAGAGGAAGAAAUACUCAAGGGUGAGAGUAUCUAAUUUUCUUUCUUCAACUCUUCAUCAAGCUCCAGGAUGCAGUCUGCUAUGGUGGGAAAUGAUGACGGCAGGAGCUUGAGACAGCUGGUUACAUGUCACCCACAGUAUGGAAGGAAAGAUGGACGCUGAGGCUCAGCUCACGUUCUCGUUUUUAUUCACUCUAGGACCCCAGUCCAUUGAAUGGUGCCACCCACAGUAAAGUCUCUCCCACAGAUGCUUGUAGCAUACUGGCAUGCAGAUGAUGGAGUGAAUGAAGAAGGCCUUCCCGACACAGGAGGGACCAGAGUGAGGCCUAGAAGGAAGAUGGCUAGACAGUCACAGAUCUCGCCCAGAGAGGAGGUGCCACAUGCCAGGUCGGAGCGUGAAGAAGCAUGAGGAGGCUGCCAGUGCUGACCAAGAUCAUUCAGGUCAGAGGGCCUCCGACCCUAGUGGUCAUUUCCCUCCUUUCAUUGGGUCUCCCUUACCGGGAAGAUUAAUCAAGGCUUCAUCAAGGGCUGGAAUUACGGAUGUGGGCCACUUCACUUAACUCCAAGCCAGUGCUUCAUCAACUGAGUCACCUCCCCAGCCCCGGUGCCCUUUCCUGAGGACCAUUUCUCAUCUUUGCUCCCAGGAGGCUUAUUUGUGUUGAUCACUCAAGGCAAAGGACCUCUGACUCUAGCCUUCCACUGUAAGGAUCUCCCCAACCCAGGAGAUUUCUUCUGUGUGGCUAAUUUUCUGUCCUCGCCAAGGCUUCAUCAAGCUGUAAUGUACUAAGGAUUCAGAUGGUGGAGGUUGCAUGGCCACAACCUUGCAGGCACAGGACCAGAACAGAACAUGGCUUGCUUAGAAGACAGUUAAACAGUCACAGAUCCCUGCAUACAAGACAGCGCCG